rnacentral:rRNA from 1 species
UCAGAAGUGCGAAUGCUGACAUAAGUAACGAUAAAGCGGGUGAAAAGCCCGCUCGCCGGAAGACCAAGGGUUCCUGUCCAACGUUAAUCGGGGCAGGGUGAGUCGACCCCUAAGGCGAGGCCGAAAGGCGUAGUCGAUGGGAAACAGGUUAAUAUUCCUGUACUUGGUGUUACUGCGAAGGGGGGACGGAGAAGGCUAUGUUGGCCGGGCGACGGUUGUCCCGGUUUAAGCGUGUAGGCUGGUUUUCCAGGCAAAUCCGGAAAAUCAAGGCUGAGGCGUGAUGACGAGGCACUACGGUGCUGAAGCAACAAAUGCCCUGCUUCCAGGAAAAGCCUCUAAGCAUCAGGUAACAUCAAAUCGUACCCCAAACCGACACAGGUGGUCAGGUAGAGAAUACCAAGGCGCUUGAGAGAACUCGGGUGAAGGAACUAGGCAAAAUGGUGCCGUAACUUCGGGAGAAGGCACGCUGAUAUGUAGGUGAAGUCCCUCGCGGAUGGAGCUGAAAUCAGUCGAAGAUACCAGCUGGCUGCAACUGUUUAUUAAAAACACAGCACUGUGCAAACACGAAAGUGGACGUAUACGGUGUGACGCCUGCCCGGUGCCGGAAGGUUAAUUGAUGGGGUUAGCGCAAGCGAAGCUCUUGAUCGAAGCCCCGGUAAACGGCGGCCGUAACUAUAACGGUCCUAAGGUAGCGAAAUUCCUUGUCGGGUAAGUUCCGACCUGCACGAAUGGCGUAAUGAUGGCCAGGCUGUCUCCACCCGAGACUCAGUGAAAUUGAACUCGCUGUGAAGAUGCAGUGUACCCGCGGCAAGACGGAAAGACCCCGUGAACCUUUACUAUAGCUUGACACUGAACAUUGAGCCUUGAUGUGUAGGAUAGGUGGGAGGCUUUGAAGUGUGGACGCCAGUCUGCAUGGAGCCGACCUUGAAAUACCACCCUUUAAUGUUUGAUGUUCUAACGUUGGCCCCUGAUCGGGGUUGCGGACAGUGUCUGGUGGGUAGUUUGACUGGGGCGGUCUCCUCCUAAAGAGUAACGGAGGAGCACGAAGGUUGGCUAAUCCUGGUCGGACAUCAGGAGGUUAGUGCAAUGGCAUAAGCCAGCUUGACUGCGAGCGUGACGGCGCGAGCAGGUGCGAAAGCAGGUCAUAGUGAUCCGGUGGUUCUGAAUGGAAGGGCCAUCGCUCAACGGAUAAAAGGUACUCCGGGGAUAACAGGCUGAUACCGCCCAAGAGUUCAUAUCGACGGCGGUGUUUGGCACCUCGAUGUCGGCUCAUCACAUCCUGGGGCUGAAGUAGGUCCCAAGGGUAUGGCUGUUCGCCAUUUAAAGUGGUACGCGAGCUGGGUUUAGAACGUCGUGAGACAGUUCGGUCCCUAUCUGCCGUGGGCGCUGGAGAACUGAGGGGGGCUGCUCCUAGUACGAGAGGACCGGAGUGGACGCAUCACUGGUGUUCGGGUUGUCAUGCCAAUGGCACUGCCCGGUAGCUAAAUGCGGAAGAGAUAAGUGCUGAAAGCAUCUAAGCACGAAACUUGCCCCGAGAUGAGUUCUCCCUG